rnacentral:misc_RNA from 1 species
CUCACUUACCCCGACAGGGGUUGUUAUUGUGUGCUACGGUGCCCCUCGAGCUCGCCUCACCUCUGGGUAGCGACAAGACAGUGAGUCGUGAUCGCGGCAAUAAAUCAGCACACAGGUGUCACCAUACUUAACGCUGAUCUGCAUACAGACACAAGAACCAUGGCCUACAACAGUGAGUCGAGAUUGACGUCAGCUGACAUCGGCGUCGUCGUUGGCUACUUUGUCCUUGUCGUCGGUGUUGGCGUUUUUGCGAUGUGCAGAGCCAAACGGAACUCUAUCAGUGGUUACUUCCUGGCGGGGAGGUCCAUGUGGUUUGUACCGAUCGGAGCAUCCCUGUUUGUGAGCAACAUCGGCACCGAGCACUUCAUCGGCCUCGCCGGCUCUGGGGCCGGCAACGGCAUUAGCGUUGGGGCGUGGGAGCUUAACGCCCUGAUGCUCCUGCAGCUUCUUGGCUGGAUCUUCGUGCCAGUGUAUAUUGCAUGUGGGACCUACACCAUGCCGGAGUAUCUCUCCAAGAGAUUCGGGGGAACCAGAAUGAGAGUGUACUUCGCCUUUCUCUCCCUCAUCCUUUACAUCUUCACCAAAUGUUCUGGGGACCUCUUCACCGGUGCCCUGUUUAUACAGCAGUCACUCAAGUGGGAUCUGUACCUGAGCAUCGUGUUGCUGGUCCUCAUCACCGCUGUUCUCACAAUUACAGGUGGCUUGACAGCUGUCAUCUACACAGACACGCUUCAGGCGGUCCUGAUGUUGACGGGAGCACUGUACCUCACCGGAGCGGGGUUUUAUGAGAUCGGUGGUUUUACUGGACUACUGGAGAAGUACCCUCAGGCAGUGCCAAAGAACGCCAGCUCCAUCGUCCCCGGUACGACGUGUCACCACCCUGACAAGCAGGCGUUCAGGAUGCUGCGGGAGGUGGACGACGACUACAUGCCUUGGCUCGGCUUCCUCCUCGGACAGACGCCGGGGUCCAUUUGGUACUGGUGUGCAGACCAGGUCAUCGUGCAGCGUGCUCUCGCCGCGAAAAGUAUCUCCCAUGCUCAAGGGGCUACUCUCAUGGCAGGCUUCAUCAAGAUCCUCCCCAUCUUCAUCAUGGUGAUGCCAGGCAUGAUGAGCAGGAUCCUGUAUCCAGACGAGGUAGCCUGCACCAACCCAGACUACUGCAUGGAGGUGUGUCAGAGCAAGGCUGGAUGCACGAACAUCGCCUUCCCUCGACUCGUGCUGGGACUUAUGCCAGACGGUGCCCGCGGUCUCAUGAUGGCGGUGAUGGUGGCAGCUUUGAUGAGUGACCUGGACUCCAUAUUCAACAGCGCUAGCACUCUCUUCACCAUCGACAUAUGGAAGAGGUUCCGACAGAGGGCCUCAGUCACGGAACUCAUGAUAGUGGGGCGGGUGUUUAUCGUGGUCAUGGUGGGCGUGUCCAUCGCGUGGGUGCCUGUCAUCAAGGAGAGCCAGGGCGGCCAGGUCUUCAUCUACAUCCAGGAGAUCACCAACUACCUCGCGCCGCCGUUUGCUGCCGUCUUCCUGCUCGGUGUCCUCGUGCCCAGGGUCAACGAGAAGGGUGCCUUUUGGGCCCUGAUGGUGGCCUUUGUAACUGGCAUGGUCCGUCUGUUCGUGGUGAUGGUGUACCAGUUUGAUGGGGAGACCUACUGCGGGGCCAAGAACACUGGUUACCAGCUGCCUGGUAUCGUUAAGAACUUCCACUACAUGUACUUCUCACUGUUCAUCACCCUCCUCACUGCGGUCCUCGCCAUCGUCAUCAGCCUCUUCACCGAGAAACCAGAGGAAAAAUAUUUAAUAAGAACCACAUACUGGACACGCCAUGAUCCACGGAGACCAGACGUCCUUGACAUGGAGCUGAGCAGAGGUCACGGUAUUAAGGCAGGGGUAGACAAUCCCGCUGUAGAGAUGAACGAUGUCGAUGUCAAGGUCGCCGAUGGGGAGUUGGUGAAAAAGGUGUUCAGAUCACCGGAAGUGACCGACGAAUCGGCAGAACAAGCCCCCGGCGUUGUGCGUCGCAUCUUCAACUACCUGUGCGGCGUCGGCAGCAUCGACGAGGAUGAAGGAAAAGCCAAAGAAAUGAUGGACCAUCUGGAAGACAUAGCCAGUUUACAGCAGAGCAAAUGCGUUAAAGUCGUGCUGACUGUUGGCCUCUGUAUUAUCAUGGGGAUAGGGGUUGCCAUGUACAUAUUCUGGUCUCUGUACAAGUUUGACACCCCACCGUUUUAUCCAGAGGGCGCUGCUUCUCUUCUUCCUGGAGAUUAUAAUUCGUCCAUGACAGCAAUGAAUACAACCGUUUAAUGUACACUCGGUUUCAUGACAGACUUCAUAUUCACAUACUCGAUUAUCCAGCGUAUAUUAGGGGCAGUCGUCUAAGGCGCCGCCAUUCGCUGCGCUGAGUUGCGUCCCUUUGGCACGCCAGAAAAAAAAAUAUAAUCGUGGGAUCGAAGGUUUCUAGGUUUGUCAGCACCAUUCCCGUGCUCGUGGGUGUAACCAAAGUGGAAAACGUCUAAGACCUGCAUCACUUUGGGCUUGCCUCACACCGUAAGCUGAUAUAACUUGAAUAUUGUUAAAAGCGGCGUUAAACCCAACAUACUCACUCACUCCUGCGUAUUAUAUAUCUCCAUUCGCCACUGACGUCACCAUAUCAAUCUCUCUUAUUAAUUAUGCUUAACAUUUUCUCUUGCUCAUAACCACCUCCGUGGUCUAGUGGUAGAGCGUCCGCCUGGAGAGCGGAAGGUCCGGGGUUCGAUCCCCAGCCGCGUCAUUCCAAAAGACGUUAAAGAUGGUACUGUUACCCUGUCGCUCGGCUUUAAGGGGCUAAAAUAAGGACUGGUCGGCUCGGAGUCAGUAUACGGUGUCUGAGAGGGAUAUUCAUGUUUAACUGCAGCAGGGUAUCUCAGUGGGCUAGCACUAUAAGUCGGCAUCAGUACUAGUGUACAAGCAGCAACACACACACGAGCGUUAUAAGUGCAAUAAUCUUGCGCGCAACGUUAAACCCCAUUUCGCUUCCCCUUCUCAUGCUCAUUAUUUAAUUUGAUUGGACAUCUUUUUUAGUAUUAUUUAAUUUUUAUCCCGCCCAAAAACGAAGCUAUUGUACCAAAUGGGUCCAGGGAAUUUAUCAAAAUAGAAUGGAGAUGUGACACACUGGAUAAUCGAGGGUGUUAUAUUUAUAUUUGAAAUAAGUAUGUUGAAGACUAUCGACCCUGUUUUAAUUAAUUUGAAAAAAGUCGUGAUAUGUAUAUUAUUAUAUAUCCACCUACUGAUGUAGUUCAUCAAUUCUCUUAUCUUUAAACAUAAUGUAAAUGUUGUCAUGGCAACAGCAAAUAUGACAGUAACCUUUAUGAUAUAUAUAAUGUCACAAGAGAAGUGACAUUUGAUAAUUCACCUGUAUUUAAUGACAUUAGGCUCCUUGCGAUGAGUUGGGGAAUAGUAAUCAUAGCGAUUCUAAACAGAAUAAGCUGGACCCUAACAAUCCUUUGACCGAUUACAUUUUCUAGAUGUGACAUUUUGAAUUAUUAUUAAAUAUCAAUUAUGUAACACAUCUCUUCUUCCUACUUCCUACUAUCGUUUAGUUGUCAUCUGUGUAUGAGUGAACUACCAACGAUCUAGCUUGAGGUGGGAACUGCGUAGUGUAUAGUAUAGAGGCGCUAUUGAACUACCAACGAUCUAGCUUGAGGUGGGAACUGCGUAGUGUAUAGUAUAGAGGCGCUAUUGAACUACCAACGAUCUAGCUUGAGGUGGGAACUGCGUAGUGUAUAGUGUAGAGGCGCUAUUGAACUACCAACGAUCUAGCUUGAGGUGGGAACUGAGUAGUGUAUAGUGUAGAGGCGCUAUUGAACUACCAACGAUCUAGCUUGAGGUGGGAACUGCGUAGUGUAUAGUGUAGAGGCGCUAUUGAACUACCAACGAUCUAGCUUGAGGUGGGAACUGCGUAGUGUAUAGUGUAGAGGCGCUAUUGAACUACCAACGAUCUAGCUUGAGGUGGGAACUGCGUAGUGUAUAGUGUAGAGGCGCUAUUGAACUACCAACGAUCUAGCUUGAGGUGGGAACUGAGUAGUGUAUAGUGUAGAGGCGCUAUUGAACUACCAACGAUCUAGCUUGAGGUGGGAACUGCGUAGUGUAUAGUGUAGAGGCGCUAUUGAACUACCAACGAUCUAGCUUGAGUUGGGAACUGCGUAGUGUAUAGUGUAGAGGCGCUAUUGAACUACCAACGAUCUAGCUUGAGGUGGGAACUGAGUAGUGUAUAGUGUAGAGGCGCUAUUGAACUACCAACGAUCUAGCUUGAGGUGGGAACUGCGUAGUGCAUAGUGUAGAGGCGCUAUUGAACUACCAACGAUCUAGCUUGAGGUGGGAACUGUGUACUGUACAGUAUAGAGGCGUUUUGGGGCUUUUGGGGGAAACAUCUCAUUGUUGAAUGGGUAGUCUAUGCCAUAUUGUUUAAAGAGGUACGUUUAAAGUUAGCACUUUACCAUUAGGGUAUUUAGUGAAUGCAUGGUGGGUAAAAGUUCUAAUAACAUCGCCAAAACGAUUUAAUUCGCCAUACAUAUAAAACAGAUUGUACAAAUAAUGUUAAGGGAUUCGAAGAAUGUGAAAAGAAAAACAGAAUGUAUUUUUGUGCUUUUAUUACGUUUACGAAAUUUAGGUAAAUUCGCCAUUAUUCUGUUUGGAUUACAAUGAAGAUUUUCAUUCUUGCCCAGCCAUUGAAUCAAACUUAACUGGGCUCUAGGGAACAAGGUUACAGAACAAAAGAGGAAAUUGGGUUUCAAGUACAUUGUGUAAGUUUCUCUCUGCCGGUAGGGCGUUGCUACAAGGAGGCUUAUCUGACUCCUUAUAUCUUCAUCUAUAGUACAUGUUUUGUUUGUUUGUUGUUUAACGAGUCUGGACCAGACAAUCCAGUGAUUAACAUCAUGAGCAUCGAUCCACGCAAUUGGAAUACGAUGAGAUACAUCAACUAGGUCAGCGAGCCUGACCACCCGAUCCCGUUAGUCGCAUUGUACGGCAAGCAUGGAUUGUUGAAGACCUAUUCUACCUCGUACCUUCACGGGGACAACAGUACAUGUAAGCAAUGCCCACCAACCUGCUUGUUUCCCAAUAAUAACAGCAAUUCGCCGGAGGGGUUUGCCUACAGCAGAUCUUCCUUAUGGUGAAGUUAGUUUAUAAUGGCCCUUGUUGUUGGUGGUGUCAACCGGACUGAUGAUGUCGGGGCACUGGCGUUAGGGUGUGUGGCCAAAAUGGCAGCCGUUUCAAAUCGACCCCAUUCGUCACCACUCGCCCCUUUCCGUAACCUGCAAGAAGACUCGUCCCCCUAUCGAUGAAUG